rnacentral:piRNA from 1 species
UUCCGGCUUCAGGGGGUUCACGACGGC